rnacentral:rRNA from 1 species
AACGAACGCUGGCGGCAUGCCUAACACAUGCAAGUCGAACGAAGUCUUCGGACUUAGUGGCGCACGGGUGCGUAACGCGUGGGAAUCUGCCCUUGGGUGCGGAAUAACUUCUCGAAAGGGAUGCUAAUACCGCAUAAUGUCGUAAGACCAAAGAUUUAUCGCCCAAGGAUGAGCCCGCGUAAGAUUAGCUAGUUGGUGGGGUAAAAGCCUACCAAGGCGACGAUCUUUAGCUGGUCUGAGAGGAUGAUCAGCCACACUGGGACUGAGACACGGCCCAGACUCCUACGGGAGGCAGCAGUGGGGAAUAUUGGACAAUGGGCGAAAGCCUGAUCCAGCAAUGCCGCGUGAGUGAUGAAGGCCCUAGGGUUGGUUAAAGCUCUUUUACCUAGGGAUGAUAAUGACAGUACCUGGAGAAUAAGACUCCGGCUAACUCCGUGCCAGCAGCCGCGGUAAU